rnacentral:ncRNA from 1 species
CCUAUGAUAAGAUGGCUGCUAAUACUCCCACAUGCAUAACUGGUAACGGUUUUGUAUGAAGCUGGGUGAAGACGCAUUGAGUAGUCCUAACAGAUAACGCUGAGGAAAGGUUAAACAUUACUGCGAAAGUAAUGCGGGCAG